UACGUAGGCAGCAAGCGUUGUUCGGAAUUACUGGGCGUAAAGAGUGUGUAGGCGGUGUUCUAAGUUUGUCGUGAAAUCUCCCGGCUUAACUGGGAGGGUGCGGCGAAAACUGGAAUGCUAGAGGAUGGGAGAGGUAAGCGGAAUUCCUGGUGUAGCGGUGAAGUGCGCAGAUAUCAGGAGGAACACCGAUGGCGAAGGCAGGUCUCUGGGCAUUAACUGACGCUGAGGAGCGAAAGCAUGGGGAGCGAACAGG
rnacentral:rRNA from 1 species